GACGGAGGGUGCUAGCGUUGUUCGGAAUCACUGGGCGUAAAGGGUGCGUAGGCGGCAUCGCAAGUCAUGGGUGAAAGCCCGGGGCUCAACCCCGGAAUUGCCUGUGAAACUGCGGCGCUCGAGGCCGAGAGAGGGGGGUGGAAUACCCAGUGUAGAGGUGAAAUUCGUAGAUAUUGGGUGGAACACCAGUGGCGAAAGCGGCCCCCUGGCUCGGUCCUGACGCUGAGGCACGAAAGCGUGGGGAGCAAACAGG
rnacentral:rRNA from 1 species